GUGAUAAAGAUACAAGCAUCAAGAUAAUUAGUCAUAUUGGAUGUUGACCACAUCAUCAUACAAAAUACCAGUGAGUUGUUUCAUUAUGGACAUUUUUGUAUCGUCUUUAUUAAUCCUUGUGUUUUUCAUACAGGUUAAUUUGUGUUGCAUCAAAUAAUCAAGACAAUGAGCAUGAGAAUGAGCUUAGAGAUAAAAUCCAGUACAUGUGUAAGAUAUUUGUUUCAUACAUAUACAUAUCUUUCUAAAUUGUGCUUAAUUGUUUCUAUGUUGUUUAAUGUUGCUUCAUAAAUUGGGUAUCACUCUCAAUAUGUAACAAAACAAUUAUAUAAUUUUCCAGGUGAUAAGUCAAUGAUAAAAAAAGGGUACAUGCAUUUUACAUAAGAGAUACACGGCACCUUCAAACUGAUGUACAAAACAAUUAAUAUUAAACUACUUAUUUCGUUUUACUUCUGUCAUUAGUUAUUGGUUUUUAAAACUUAUGUCAUUUAUUUCAAGGUUUCUCAUUUGUUUAAACUGGUAUCAUUUAUUUCAAGGUUUGUCACGGUGAUACAAAUAAAUUACAUCAACAGCUUACUCAUUAAAUUCUUUUUCUGUGAUUCUGAAAAAUUCUAGUUGCAAAAUUCUCACAAACUAAGUGUUGAAAAAUGAGAAAUGGAAAA
rnacentral:lncRNA from 1 species